UACGAAGGGGGCUAGCGUUGUUCGGAAUUACUGGGCGUAAAGGGUGCGUAGGCGGGUCUUUAAGUCAGGGGUGAAGUCCUGGAGCUCAACUCCAGAACUGCCUUUGAUACUGAAGAUCUUGAGUUCGGGAGAGGUGAGUGGAACUGCGAGUGUAGAGGUGAAAUUCGUAGAUAUUCGCAAGAACACCAGUGGCGAAGGCGGCUCACUGGCCCGAUACUGACGCUGAGGCACGAAAGCGUGGGGAGCAAACAGG
rnacentral:rRNA from 1 species